CCUACGGGGGGCUGCAGUGGGGAAUUUUGGACAAUGGGCGCAAGCCUGAUCCAGCUAUUCCGCGUGUGGGAAGACGGCCUUCGGGUUGUAAACCACUUUUGUAGAGAACGAAAAGUCUAUUGAUAAUACCGAUAGACGAUGACGGUACUCUAAGAAUAAGCACCGGCUAACUACGUGCCAGCAGCCGCGGUAAUACGUAGGGUGCGGGCGUUAAUCGGAAUUACUGGGCGUAAAGGGUGUGCAGGUGGUUUUGCAAGAUGGAUGUGAAAGCCCCGGGCUUAACCUGGGAAAGCCAUACAUGACUGGAAGACUAGAGUGCGUCAGAGGGGGGUGGAAUUCCAAGCGUAGCAGUGAAAUGCGUAGAUAUUUGGAAGAACUCCGAUUGCGAAGGCAGCAUACCGGCGCUCAACUGACGCUCAUGCACGAAAGUGUGGGUAUCGAACAGGAUUAGAUACCCUUGUAGUC
rnacentral:rRNA from 1 species